rnacentral:rRNA from 1 species
GGCGGACGGGUGAGUAACGCGUGAGAAUCUGCCCUCAGGAGGGGGAUAACGGCUGGAAACGGCCGCUAAUACCCCAUAUGCCGAGAGGUGAAAUAGUUUAAACUGCCUAAGGAUGAGCUCGCGCCUGAUUAGCUAGUUGGUAAGGUAACGGCUUACCAAGGCCACGAUCAGUAGCUGGUCUGAGAGGAUGAUCAGCCACACUGGGACUGAGACACGGCCCAGACUCC